UUAAUUCCGGAGAAGAGGUUGGUUAAGGCGCGGCGAGAUGGAAGAUUGAUGUGGUGGAGGAGAAUGUUGGACGGUGCGGUGGAGAAGAGUUUUGGGCGGCAGAGUGUUCGGCGGUCGCCUAGGAGGCUACCGAUCGCGACAGAGAGGGGUGAGAAUGAUGGAACGAGACCUUGGAGUGACAAAUCAGAAAGAGAU